rfam:Oryza rufipogon genomic scaffold, chr01
GUUUUGCGUUGUUUAUGUCCAACAUUUGACUGUCUGUCUAACUUAAAAAAAUUGUUAUGAUUAGUAUUUUUAUGUAUUACUAGAUGAUAAAACAUUAAUAAUGCUUUAUGGUGAGACUAUCUUUUUUUAAUUAUUUUUUCAUAUAAUUUUUUAAAUAAGACGUACAGUCAAACGUUGGACACGGAAAAUCAUAACUGCACUUAAA